AUCGCUGUAAAGUACAGUAGUCAUACAUAGGCGUACACCAGUAUACUGGCGUCCAUUUCGUUUGUAUCAUGGUAGAUCAUAAAGAACGAGAUUUUUAUUCACAAAUGGAUUUGCGAACAAAGAACGACGACCCGCCCAAUUCGCGUUUAUUUGUUAUUUGCCAUAAAUCUCUGGAAGAAGAUGACAUACGGAAAGCUUUCGAAAAGUUUGGCAAAAUCGAGGAUAUUUGGGUCGUUAAGGAUCGAAAUACUGGCGAGAAUAAAGGAGUUACGUAUAUUAAAUUUUCUAAGACGUCAGAAGCUGCAUUUGCGUUGGAGGAAAUGAAUGGGAAAAUGCUAGGCAUGGUUGGAAGACCUAUCAAAGUGAUGAUCGCUUCAAAUCGUGAUCAAGGAUCUGUGAGAGAAACAAAUGAAGAGGAAAGAUGGGUCAGAUUGUUUUGUGUGUUACCAAAGUCUAUGACUGAUAGUGAAUUACAACAAGAAUUCUCUAAGUUUGGCCAAAUAGAGUAUGCAACUGUAGUCAAGGAUCGUAAUACGAAUGAAUCUAAAGGUUUUGGUUAUGUUAAAUUUAAAAAAGUAUCCAGUGCAGCUAAAGCAUUUGAAGAAUGCGAUAGGAAAUACAAAGCAGUGUUCGCAGAACCAAAGAAACCAAAACCUGAUAAUAUAGAUUCUAAAUACAAUAAUGGCUCUUCUAUGUCCUACGACAGUCUUGGUCAUGCUUCUGCAAAUUUUGGGAAAAGCAGCAUCAGUCUAGAUAUAGCUACAAAUUAUCCAAAUCCGGAAGGAUAUACUCAAUUACAAGUUAUUGCACAUCCAGCUUUAAAUCAAGAUCAGUUGUGGAAACUAUUUGAUAUAGUUCCCGGUAUGGAUUAUUGUCAUUUAAAAACAGAUGCGAGAUACAGAAUGCCAAGAGGGCAAGCCAUUGUGGUGUAUUCCAAUCCAAAUGCAGCAGCAUAUGCUAGGGAAAAAUUCCAUGGUUUCGAAUAUCCUCCAGGUCAUAGGAUGAUAGUUAAACCGGAUACUAGUAAUAUGUCAUCUAAAGGUUCAACAAAAAGUAACUCUAAUGCAGCUGUACCAGCAAGAACAGAUUUAGCACAUUUGGCUGAAACUAUUGCUCAAGCUACAUCGUUGAUUCAAGCAGCAGGACUAACAGCACCAAGCUUAGAACAGACAAUGUGCAUUAAGUUACCUCCUCUGCAACCAAUGGCAAAUGUAGAUGCAGAGGUAGCUAAAAGGUGUUUCAUCGUAUGUGGCCCACCCGUACCACCUAUAUAUGCUAUGAAAGAUGCAUUCUGUAGGUUUGGUAAUUUGAUAGAUGUAUAUAUGCUUCCGGGAAAAAAUUGUGGUUAUGCCAAAUAUGCUACUGUUGCAAGUGCAGACGAAGCGAUUGAGGUUCUACAUGGGCAAGAAAUUUGUGGUUCACGUCUUAAAGUAUUGGAGGCAGAGGAACGAAGCGUUGGGGAAGAUCGUAGAAAACGAUUAAGAGUUGACGAAGACGAACGUUAAGUUUAUUGUGUACUGCGACACUAUUUUAAGCUGGGUUCGACGUAUUGUACCUGAAAACUGUGAUAUAUCUAUAGUUGUAAAAGAUGUCGCUACCACAUCGAAUGAAGUUCCCGCGAUACACAGAAUAGUGGGAGCAUGACUCGUAAAGAGAUGACAAGAGAGGGGGAAAAGCGUUUAUAUUUUAACCAUAUAUAUGCAUGAUGAUAUUACGUGACAGUGAAGUAGCCGCUUGGAGGGGAUGAUGGGAAUGUUAUCCAGAACGAUAUAGGUGACUUUUCAAAGAGUGGGGGUUGUAGGCUCACGUGUUUUCAAACGUGCUGCAAAAUGAGCACCAGUUCGAAUUUGCGAAGAUUGCAAGCGACAUGAUUUUGGUCUUUACUAGCGUAACCAUCGCGAAGUCUUGUCUCUCGAGUGUUUUAUAUCAAAUUCGUAUUAUUAAUCGAUUAAUCUACAUGGAAAGUUGUUCAGUUGAUCGAAUAAUCAUUUCUCGAUUCUUUAUUUGUUUAAUAAAAAUAUUACAAAGUGUA
rnacentral:misc_RNA from 1 species